rnacentral:sRNA from 1 species
AUGGGGCUUAAAAGCAUUGGACAUGGAGUGAGGAUUUGCCUCAAACCUCCUCCAAAACUCAAACAGUUAGUCUGAGCUCAGUCAAUGGCUGCUGCAACUACACCAAGUGCAAUUAUCAUACAUACUGAUCAUAUGAUCUGGAGGUAGCAGAGGUUUGGGCUCGUGCUUAGCGAACCGGCAAGUCACAAAUCGGCAACGGACUCAGUCAUGAGUCC